rnacentral:rRNA from 1 species
GAUGAACGCUGGCGGCGUGCCUAAUACAUGCAAGUCGAGCGAACGGACGAGAAGCUUGCUUCUCUGAUGUUAGCGGCGGACGGGUGAGUAACACGUGGAUAACCUACCUAUAAGACUGGGAUAACUUCGGGAAACCGUAGCUAAUACCGGAUAAUAUUUUGAACCGCAUGGUUCAAAAGUGAAAGACGGUCUUGCUGUCACUUAUAGAUGGAUCCGCGCUGCAUUAGCUAGUUGGUAAGGUAACGGCUUACCAAGGCAACGAUGCAUAGCCGACCUGAGAGGGUGAUCGGCCACACUGGAACUGAGACACGGUCCAGACUCCUACGGGAGGCAGCAGUAGGGAAUAUUCCGCAAUGGGCGAAAGCCUGACGGAGCAACGCCGCGUGAGUGAUGAAGGUCUUCGGAUCGUAAAACUCUGUUAUUAGGGAAGAACAUAUGUGUAAGUAACUGUGCACAUCUUGACGGUACCUAAUGAGAAAGCCACGGCUAACUACGUG